CCCUGUAUUAAAACCAUUCAAAGUGCUCAAGCAGAGGGAAAUUAUGAGAGGUGCAACCACCAUUCCUCAGAUACUGGUCCAGUGGGAAGGCUUAGGGGCACAUGAAGCAACUUGGGAAGACAAGGCAGACAUAGUUGCCGGUUAUUCAAACUUUAACCUUGAGGACAAGGUUUGUUUUAAAGGGGGGAGCAUUGUAACAAUAACAGAUGAUGAGGAGGGUUAGAGGAGGAAAUUUAAAGGUAGAAUGCAAGGACAAAAGAGUCAAGAAAUUGAAGGACAGGUGACACCAUCUCAUGAAGCUGACGUUGAAGGAAAAGGGAAACGUUUGAGGCAACCCAAUACACGUUUGGAAGGGUAUCUUUGGGAAGAGAAUUAGUUAUAUAGUAGAGGGUGGGGUAGGAGAGCGUAGACAAUGAUUGAAAAUGUUUCUCUUCCACCCUGGUUGAAUUCUUUUUGUUGCUUUUCUAUUGCUCACUUUUGGCAAAGGUAACACGUUGUACCUUGUGCUUUACUUUUCAAAUUAAAGGCAAGUACUGACCCUUAGUCGGUAGCUUUUUUACCUGGUGUUUUCAAUUUUGAUUCUUAGUUGUACUUAUCCUGUUACAUUAAU
rnacentral:lncRNA from 1 species